rnacentral:tRNA from 1 species
GCCCGGGUGGCGGAAUUGGUAGACGCGCAGGACUUAAAAUCCUGUGACCAUUUUAGGUCGUGCCGGUUCGAUCCCGGCUCCGGGUA